CAUCUCAAAAACAUGCUUGGUAGGCCGAUUGAGCACUCCAUAUUGCCGUAAGUGUGGGUGGUUGUUCGUCUUUGUGUGCCCCCGUAUUGCUGGCAACCAGUUCAGGGUGUCCCCCGCCUACUGCCUGAUGACUGCUGGGAUAGGUUCCAGUACGCCCGCGACACCCGACAAGCGGUACAGAAAAUGGAUGGAUUGAGACAUAGCAUCACAUUUUCAGCAGUAGUAAGCAGUAGUCUACUAUGUCCAGCUACUACUGCAUUAAGGAUGAUUAAAAUAACAAAUCUUAUUUGAUUGAGGGUGAUUCAUCUAACAUAUGUCACCCUGAGACAUGUAAUUUGUGGACGGUCCAUAAAACAGACGGUAAGAACAUAUAUCAAAUGUCUGGCGUACCUUUUCCUGCUAUAAGCUUUUACAUUGCAUGUCAUAUUAACCUAUUUGACUGCAUUUGAUAUCAUCUAUUGUUGAAACGGACACUACAUUUGCACCGUUACCGUCAAGCUGUUCAUUUAAUUACUAAUGACCCAAUGUAACGUUGCUCUGAGUGUCUGAGUGAGAGCGUGCGUCUUGGCUUUUUAGCCAGCUCCCAGAAUUUGACGGGGCAUGAAUGCACAAAAUGA